GCGGGAAAGUUGAACUUCUAAAAGUUUACGCAAGUCCACUGAAGGAGGAGGGGGAGGUGGCUCCCGGCACCAGGUAAGUCGGACGUUCGCGGGGGCUGGGGUGAGGAGGGGAGAGGCCGGGAUCUAGGAGCGGGCACCUCAGUCCCGCUUCCCCGACAUCCACGCGUCCCGGGUCCCCAAGAUGCCAGCCUCAGUCAGAUAGUGGAACUACACUUCCCAGGCCGGCUGCGCGGCGAGCUAGCGCGGAACGAGGGGAAGGUUUGCCAUGAAGCCUGCUGGGAUUCGUAGUUCCCGAUUCUCUAAAGGCUUGAGAAGCUUGGUAUCUGCCUUCAGAACCCAGAAGUCGGAGCCCCAAGUUCUCUUCUCUCUCAGACUGAAGAAUCCAGAUUCCCCAUCCCCCUUUUCCGAAAACUCAAGAGUCCAGCUCCCAGUCCCUUCCUCCCUUAGACCCACGAAUCCGGGUCCCCAGCCUCUUCCUCUCCAAGCAUCAAGGAGUCUUCCUCCUCAUCCUUCUCUCUCCGAGGACUCAAGAAUCUGGGUCCCCAGGCCCUAACUCCCCUAAAGGACUUAGAAAUUCGGACUCUCGGCCCCUUCCUCCCUUGGGGACUCACGAGUCCUGAUCCUCUCCUUAUUCAGGGAUUAGGCGUUUGGGCCCCAAUCCUCCAAUGCAGUGCAACCCUGGAGUCCAUCCCCCAGCUCCCUCUUUCACAGGUGCCCCCAUGGCAGGCUCGGAAGAGCUGGGGCUCCGGGAGGACACGCUGAGAGUCCUAGCGGCCUUCUUUAGGCGAGGUGAGGCCGCCGGGUCCCCCAUUCCAACCCCACCCAGGUAAGAGGAGCUGCCCUCCUCCCUCAGGGGCCUGCAUUUGGGGCGGGGCCCCCUCUGACUCUUGCGCCUGGUCUCAGCCUGCCUGCACUCCCCUCUCUUUAUAUCUGGCUCUAUUCCUUGUCCCUGGGGUUGCAGUGAGAGGCCUUCAGUGGGAGGAAAAAGGGACUGCUUGCAAGGAGCCUCCGGGGUCACUCUCUGAGGUCCCCUUCCCCAGGAGUCCUGCCCAGGAGGAGCCAACAGAUUUCCUGAGCCGUCUUCGAAGAUGUCUUCCCUGCCCCCUGGGGCGAGGAGCAGUUCCCCCUGAGUCCCCUCGGCCUUGCUCCCUGCCCCUCCGCCCAUGCUAUGUUUCAGAGCCUGGUAAGAGAUUUUCCCUAGAUCACCCAUGAACUGGCAGGGCCAGGAGCUUUGAUUCUUAAAGCUGGAAAGGAUGGAAAGGAUGAGCUAGUCCAAGAUCACUCAGCUCAGAGGGGGAGCUGAGUGGGGACUACCCUCACCAUUCUGUGCUUCCCCUGCCCCCAGUUACAUUGCUGUCUGUCCAUUCUGUGAGCUGGCUUCAGGAGAACUUUUGGUCCCUUUCUAUCUGUUAUCUCCCUCCUUCCAUGCACGCUUCCCUCUCCCGAGGACUUUGUAGCCCACCAGUAUCCCCAGUAGGGAGGCAGGAGACCUGGCAUUGAAACACAAUUCCCUGGAUAUUUAGUUACAGGUCUCUGAGAAAUUCCUUUUCUUCCUUGCUCCUAUUUUUCUCCACUAGCAAAGUAGGAAUGAGGGGAGUGGGGGGAGGUGUCAUUGGACUUGAUCAAGAGUAACCAGAAGGUUUCUUUCCUCUCGUAUGUGAGCCUGGAUAGACUAGUAAUGGCUACUGGGAGAGCUAGCUUGAAAAGGAUUUCGCAGCUGGGGAGAAGAGUCCUGUGACCAGCUGAUGACACUUGAAACCAGCAAGGGAUAGAGUGAUAAUAGCUGGAGCACCCUGUGUUUGCUUUCCUUGGUUGGGAUAAUCUUCAAAGUCUAGUUCAGCUCUAACAUUCUCAGUCCAGUUUGAGGCGGGGGGGACACCAUAAAAUGGAAAGUACAAAGGUCUUUUGCCAAGUGUGCUCACUGGGCCUCAGUUUACCCCAUUGUGAAAUGGAAAUCGUUGCUACCUGGCAAGGCGGUGGGGACACGGAGAGAAUCCAUAACUUCCCCAUGUCCCGGAGAUCCAUCAUUGGCUCUUUUCACCCCAGGCCCAGCUACUCCGGAUUUCUAUGCUCUGGUGGCCCAGCGGCUAGAACAGCUGGUCCAAGAGCAACUGAGAUCCCCACCUAGCCCAGGUGAGGUACACAGGGGCCCUGGAGAAGGAGGAGGGUGGAAGGGUUGGCAGAGUUCUGCUCCCAGCCGAAUUCUCUUCUGUCUGCCCAGAGUUACAGGGUCCCCCACCCACAGAGAAGGAAGCCCUGCUGCGGAAGCUGGUGGCCCUGCUGGAGGAAGAGGCAGACGUCAUCAACCAGAAGGUGAUGGGCGGUCUCUUCCACCCUUAGCUAAGAUAGGAAUCGAGGGAUGGUUGGGCCCUGGGAUCCAAAGCUGGAUCUGUAUUCUCUUUAGAUGGUCAAGUGAGGAGAGGGUGGGACUAGGCUUCAGUGAAGGGUUUGCAAUCAAGUCCACACUCAUUCUGCUCACAGCACCACAGGCCAAUAAGUCGAGAGGCAAGAUGUUGGGGUAAGGAAAGUGACUUUAUUUGGAAAAGGAGGAAACCGGGCAGACUACCCACCCAAACAGCAAUCUCCCUCAGCAUGAGAUUGGGCCUCUUUUAUGUUGGGAUUGGGGGGGAAGCAGGAGGGGGUUGGGAGUCAAAGGGUGACUGACAUCUGUAGAUAACAGAGGGAGCUUGUGUAACUGUUUUUUGUCCUUGGUCAGUUGAUCUUUGUGUACAGGAAACUGGUCAUGUCAUUCCUGUAAAUCUCAUACAUAGCAUGGUCAUUUCUGUAGGUACCUUCCUUUUGAAAAAAAAGUUGAGGGCGCCUGGGUGGGUCAGUUGGUUAAAUCAGGUCAUGAUUUCACGGUUUGUGAGUUGGAGCCCCACGUCGGGCUGUAUGCUGACAGCGUAGAGCCUGGAGCCUGCUUCGGAUUCUGUGUUCCCCUCUCUCUCUGCCCCUCCCCUACUCAUGCUGUGUCUCUCUUUCUCAAAAUUGAAUAAAUGUUAAAAAAUUUUUAAAAAUUUAUUUGUUUUGAGAGAGAGAGAGAGAGAGCACAAGUGGGGGAAGAUGUGAGAGAGAGAGAGAGAGAGAGAGAGAGAGAGAGAGAGAAUCCCCAACAGGCUCCUCUCACGGGGCUCGAACCCAUGAACUGUGAGAUCAUGACCGGAGCCAAAAUCAAGAGUCAGAUGCUUAACUGACUGAGCUACCCAGGGACCCCUGUAGGUACCUUCCUUAUCUCCUAUGGUGAGGCAGAUUUCGGGUAAAAUAUGGUCUUUGCAAAUCUUAGCUGCAACGUGCCUACGUGCAUGGCUAAGCAGAAGUUUCUAAAUUAAAGGUCACAGCAGUAAGGGAAAUAGAAGCAAUAUGGAGUCAGAUGUGCUAAGUUUCUCCACUACGUGUUGAGCGACAGUUAGUUAGGGUCAGGAUAGUGUUUUAAACUGGUUUGCAUUCAUCGCCAGAGGGGCGUGGCCUAGAGAGAAGAGGUGUGGCCAUUCCAAACUAGAUCUCUGAAACUGAGACCAGUUAAGGAGUUAGGGACUGUAUGGUGGUGGGAGGGGGGUUGGUUUGGAGAGGGCUGUCUGAAAUCUGAAACCCUGGGGGCGCCUGACUGGCUCAGUCGGAAGAGCAUGCAUCUCUUGAUCUCGGGAUUGUGAGUUUGAGCCCCAUUUUGGGUGUAGAGACUACUUAAAAAUAAAACUUAAAAAAUCUGAAGCCCUUGUUAACUAUAGAGGGACAUGACUUAGAAUGUGAAGGGAAAUGACUGCGGAGGAGCUCUGGCUUAUGACUGUCACGGACCUUGAUUGGCUCAGGAACUUGGGCAGUGUAUAAUCCUGUAAUAUUGUAUGGUGGAAGGCAAGGUUGCAGGCACUAGCCUGGCCUCAGGUGCUCUCAGGGAACCCCUAAGGGGGCGUGGCUAUAAGAUUAACAUUCUAGAACUCGGCUAAGAGGGACUUGGCCCUCAUUGGCUGUCCAGGCCUUGCCUUAACUUCUCGUCCACUUUCCUAGGAGUGGUUUGGCAGAGAUCAGAGGCUGGUUUAUGAUUGGCUGGUGUGAUGGAUGGGGCGUGGCUCACGUUAUUAGUAGCAAACGCACUCGUUUCAAGAAGCCACGCCUCCUAUCCUCCUAUUGGCUGGCCACGGGGGCACAACCGAGGCAGACCCGGCCUCUUCUCUUCCCCACCCCACAGCUGGCCUCGGACCCCGCCCUGCGCGGAAAGCUGGCCCGCCUCUCCUCGGGCUCCUUCGCCCGCCUAGUGGAGCUGUUCUCCUGCCGGGAGAGCAGCCCUCUGCCCGGUCGCGCACGCCCCUCCUUGCCCUGUCCCGGGCCCCCUCCGCCUUCCCCGGAGCCCCUGGCCCGCCUGGCCCUGGCCAUGGAGCUGAGCCGCCGCGUGGCCGGGCUGGGGGGCACCCUGGCCGGACUCAGCGUGGAGCACGUGCACAGCUUCGCGCCCUGGAUCCAGGCCCACGGGGGCUGGGUGAGCUGCCAAAGCUUCUCUUGGCCUCCCUUUACCCACUUGUAACUUGUGUCUGUGUGGUAGGGGGGUGGCUUCUUCGCCUUCUUUUCAGACCUCACGCGUGUUCUCGGAGCCCUACUAUUCAUCUGUUCUGUGUCCAUUGCGCGCCUUCUGUACACCAGUAGUAGGUGAUCCGUGCAGACCCCAUGCCUAGCUUAAACCAUGCUGGCAAACGUUAACAGUUAUGAGUGGGAAGCAAGUAAGGCCCCUUCCUGGGCCUUGGUUUCCUCAUCUGUCAAACGGGGAGAGUAGAAGUACCUGUCCCAGAGGGUUAUCGUCAAGACUAAAAUGGGAACAUCUUUGGCACCCUGUAGGCAUUUGCUUGAUUACCUGGUGACUGCUUCUCUGACACUGCCUGCCAGAACGCACUUGCCUGGAUAGCCCCCUGCCUCGUUUCCUCUGCUCCCUUCGGGGGUUACCCGCAGUGAGGCCUCCCUGGGUCCUCAUUUAAAGCUGAGGCCACCUCCAUACCCUCCCACCCACUUCCUUUCCUUCUUUGUUGCUUUACCUCCUUCUAUAGGACAGCUGCUUCCAGAUGGCAGAAGUCACUUGUUUGACUUAUUAUUUCCUUUUAUUUGUUGUUUUCUCUUGCCCCUGACGUAUCAGCUUCACAAGACCCGGGAAUCUUAGCAACCUUACUCACUGCUUUAAAUCCAGUGUCAGGCUCAGAGCUGGAUUGGGCUCCAGUGUGCUGGCAGUGUGACCUUGGCAACUGUCCCCAGCUACCUGAGCAUCAGUCCCCCCACCCCCCGGCCCCUGCCCAACGGGCACCGUUCACUUACCUACCUCUUGGCUAUGGGGAUUCAGUGACAGAACGAUGUGUGCCCUGCUCUCAGAAUGUAACCAUUGCCUCACAGAGUGGCAGGAGCUGGCCAGAUGUGUUUGAGGAGCCAGUAGAGAGAGGAGGCCAGUAGCGCUUCAGGAGGGUGAGCGAAGGGAUGACAACAGAAGGGGCGACCAGAUCCUGCGGGGGCCUUGUGAGCUUGGGGCCCCCUAGAGCCCUCCGGGCAGAGGGACGCGAGCACACUUAGGUGUUAACCUGCGCCCUCUGGCGGCCGCCUGGGGGAAUACUGUAGAGGGCGAGCCGGAAGUAGGGAGUUCUAGGGAGUUCGGAGGAGGUAGGUGACUGAGCUGGCUCAGGGAGGAGAUGAGGGUGGAGGGGACAGUGGAUACCCGUGUCUGGAGCUCGGUGCCGAAGCUUGUUUGUUAUGCGAAAUUGUUUUUAUUUUUUGGCCGCGUGCACCGCCAAGGACUUUAGUGGAAUGAUUCCACUUAAUCCCCACAACCACCUCAUGGGAUUUGGAUCUUUUCCUGCUUUUAUGGAGACUCAGGGAAAGUCCCUCAUGCAGAGGACGGGAAUUAGGACUUUGACACAAAGCCAAGGCUCUUAAUUGUUAAAACCCCAGGACUGCUCCCCUUCUCUGAGUCUCUGUUCCCUGUCUCUCUGUCUACUCUCCACCCUGGGGCUUUGUUUUCCUUCCCUUUUUCUAGGACUCCGUCCCCAUCCACCCAGGGGUCUCUGAUCCUUUCUUUGGAUCCCUGUCCACCCGCCCUGUCUGGUUCCUUGCCUUCCCUGUCUCUGCUCCCGCUGGGCUGGCGUAGAUGCCAUGGUGAAUGGAGGGCAGGCUCUUCGCGUGAAUGCUCACGGGUUCUUCCAUUUUUCCCCUCCAGGAGGGCAUCCUGGCCAUUUCACCCGUGGACUUGAACUUACCCCUGGACUGAGAUCUUCCUCAGAAGCUGCUACCAGAUUAGACCUCACGUCUCUAUGCUCUUCCUGUGCUUUGCCAAACCUUCCUGUUCCACUCAGGGUUGUGGGGUGGGUUGCCCUGCCUGUUUCUGCCAAAAAGAAAUUGUUUUAAAUUUUUUCACAUUAAAGACUUUU
rnacentral:lncRNA from 1 species